AGUAUGAAAAACCGCCGUUAUUCACAUUUAGACAUGAGUUUCGAAAUUUUCAAAAGAUUUGAGUUUUUGAUGGCAAACGAUUCGAUUCUGAUCACGAAUUCUAUGCAGGCUGAGACAUGGCUCUAAAUGGCAUUUCUACACGGUUUCUACAUUGGUGCAUUGGUGAAGAGGCAAUUACGAUUUACGAAUAUGGAGAACCCAUUGUCGACCAGUGGGUAUUAAAAUACUCUAAACGAAAAUAAUGAAUCUCGAAGAAUUUUAGUGCAGUUUAGGUGAAAUAUAUUUAUAUAUACAUAUAUAUAUCCUUAA